rnacentral:rRNA from 1 species
GUUAGUGGCGGACGGGUGAGUAACGCGUGGGUAACCUGCCUUAUACAGGGGGAUAACAGUUAGAAAUGACUGCUAAUACCGCAUAAGCGCACAGGAUUGCAUGAUCUGGUGUGAAAAACUCCGGUGGUAUAAGAUGGACCCGCGUUGGAUUAGCUGGUUGGUGGGGUAACGGCCCACCAAGGCGACGAUCCAUAGCCGGCCUGAGAGGGUGAACGGCCACAUUGGGACUGAGACACGGCCCAAACUCCUACGGGAGGCAGCAUG